UGCAGUAUUUUGACUGUACAAAGGUAGCAUAAUCAUUAGUCUCUUAAUUGGUGACUUGUAUGAAAGAUUGGAUGAGAUAUAAGCUGUCUCUAAAGUAUUUAUAAAAUUUAAUUUUUUAAUUAAAAAGUUAAAAUGAAUUUAAAAGACGAGAAGACCCUAUAGAGUUUAAUAGAUUUAUUAAUAAAUAAUUAUUUAUAAAUAAAAAGGUAAAAAUUUUUAAAUUUAUUUUAUUGGGGUGAUAGAAAAAUUAAAUAAACUUUUUUUUAAAAAAAAACAUAAAUAAGUGAAAUAAAGAUCCAAAAUUUUUGAUUGAAAGAAAAAAUUACCUUAGGGAUAACAGCGUAAUUUUUUUUUUUA
rnacentral:rRNA from 1 species